AUUGAACGCUGGCGGCAGGCCUAACACAUGCAAGUCGAGCGGAUGAAGAGAGCUUGCUCUCUGAUUUAGCGGCGGACGGGUGAGUAAUGCCUAGGAAUCUGCCUGGUAGUGGGGGAUAACGUCCGGAAACGGGCGCUAAUACCGCAUACGUCCUACGGGAGAAAGCAGGGGACCUUCAGGCCUUGCGCUAUCAGAUGAGCCUAGGUCGGAUUAGCUAGUUGGUGAGGUAAUGGCUCAACAAGGCUACGAUCCGUAACUGGUCUGAGAGGAUGAUCAGUCACACUGGAACUGAGACACGGUCCAGACUCCUACGGGAGGCAGCAGUGGGGAAUAUUGGACAAUGGGCGAAAGCCUGAUCCAGCCAUGCCGCGUGUGUGAAGAAGGUCUUCGGAUUGUAAAGCACUUUAAGUUGGGAGGAAGGGCAGUAAGUUAAUACCUUGCUGUUUUGACGUUACCGACAGAAUAAGCACCGGCUAACUUCGUGCCAGCCGCCGCUGUAAUAC
rnacentral:rRNA from 1 species